rnacentral:lncRNA from 1 species
UAAUGAGCAGCUAGUAGUCUCAUUUAGGGACAUUCACCUGCCUGGGCACAGUGGAGAUGAUUAGAUGAGAACCGGCCCUUUCAGGUUAGUACCCAAGGAUCCACUUUCUAAAAGGAGAGUGCCUGCACAGAUUAAUUUUUGAGCCAAGCUGGUCUUGCAAGGCUGGGUCUCUUCCCUCACUCUGCUCUUACUGCAUCCUCCACUGCAAAGCACCAGGCCGGGACGAGCAGAGGCAGACAUUGAAGCAAGAGUUUCUGGGAGGUGCUCUGUAGCUCCAUUAUCAUGACUGCUGUUUGAACGCUGUACUGUAGAAGGCACAGACUGAGAUGCUGGAUCAACUGCGCAUGCCUGUCUUUGUGACCGGCUGCUAUCGAUCCUUCCGAGCCCGUGUGCCACGCUGGAAAGCUGCAUCUAAGAGUUAAGAUUUACUGGCUUAAAAGCGUGUGUGUCGUGGGAUUGCGCGGUGGCUCAGAACUGACAUCCUAGCAGGCUCCUGGGCGAUGCAGAUGCUGGCAUUCUGGGCACUGCCCUUUGGAAAGCUAUGAUGACCACUGAAGCAGAACAGACCAAAGCAAAGAGGUGGGAAAGUCGCGAGAAGAUACAGGACUGGCUGGGAUACAUCAGGAAGAGGAGCUGCGAUGGAUGGGACUUCAAAUGGAAGUUGGUGAUUAUAUCCGUCCCAGCACCUCCCGCCUUGCAAGAGAGGCCUUAUAAAUCCUGGUCACAAGGAAGGGAAACAGAAGCUCAAGGAAGAGAGAGCCAUGGCUUCCUAGGUGUCAGUGAAGACCCAGACGCUGAAACUAUAACCGCCUAGUUCAGAAACCUAUACUUUGCUUGACCACAAUCCAAGCAGGGGGUGGGGAUGGGAUGUUUUUCUGCAGGGCUGGACAUAGAGUCAGUGUUCAGAGCACAUUGUUGGAGAGAGGAAGGAUGGGUGAGUGAAUAAGUGAAGAAAUGAAUGAGAGAACAGAACCACUUUGAGAGCCUGGAAACCGGGACCUCACGCUCUGUGACCUCACGCUCCAACUUCCCCUCCUCCCCGAGUCUGAUCUGAAAGGUGACCCCCGUUCCUCUCGCCCAGGUGAUAAAGCCAGGUGCAGGUGCACCUGUUACCCAAACCUGAUAUCCAAAUAGGAAGUAAGGCUGAGAUAAGGCUGUGGAGGGCAGUGCCUGGAAUCACGGGGUUGGGCUGGCCAUUGGCUUGAUGCCACAAGUGUCCACCGAGCCUCUCCUAAAGGUUGAGCUCUAUGCCAGGUUCCUUCAGGGUGAGGCAGGAAGCCACGCAGCUCCUGACCUCCAACAGCUUAUGGAAAAAAAAAAUACUUACAAACAGGAUGUGGGUCGGGCAAAGGGAGAAGUGUGAAGCAGGUGGCCAUUGCUCCCUGACAGCUCCAACAGGGAGUUGGGACUGAGAGAUGAGAAGAAAUGAGGCAGUAGUUAGUGAUGCCAGGGGAGGGGCCUGACCCUUGCACUGCCAUUGCUGAGGAAUAAGAGGUCCUUAAAGUUUAGCUCCUCAGACCCAGACCCCUCCCCAGUCCUCCUAC